CAUACAUAAACUGAGGCUGUGUCUCCAUAGUAACUCGUACAUAUGGCCUAUAGUGGACACAUAUACUGAGGCCAUGUCCUCAUAGUAAUUCAUACACAGAGCAUAUAGUGCAUACAUAAACUGAGGCUGUGUCUCCAUAGUAACUCGUACAUAUGGCCUAUAGUGGACACAUAUACUGAGGCCAUGUCCUCAUAGUAAUUCAUACACAGAGCAUAUAGUGCAUACAUAAACGGAGGCUGUGUCUCCAUAGCAACUCAUACAUUUAUCAUAUAGUGGAUACCUAUACUGAGGCUGUGUCCUCACAGUAACUCAUACAUAGAGCAUAUAGUGCAUACAUAAACUGAGGCAGCGUCCUCAUUGUAACUCAUACAUAGAGCCUAUAAUGGAUACAUAUACUGAGGCUCUCUCCAUAGAAACUCACACAUAGAGCAUAUAGUGGACACAUAUACUGAGGCUGUGUCUCAAUAGAAACUCAUAUAUAUAUCUCAUAUAUA